UACAUCAUAUAGCAUACUCUGUCUAAUACGGAGAUUUUUCUUGUUUCUCAAAACCUGCUUGAUGAGUUUUCAUUUCAUUUUUAACAACGACGUAGUUCAACCAUUUUUAUAAACUGUAACGUGCUCGUCUUUAAUUUUAAAAAGUUUAAUUAAUUUUAUGGUACUUUUCGGAAUUAAGAAAUGUUCUACAACAUAAUCUGUCAAUCCUAUAAUUAUUUUUUGAUAAGAUGGAUGUAACUUCACAUUUUUAACGAAGUCUCUGAAGAUGCGUGUAAGGCGAAACAAGUCAGACGAAAAAUAAAAUUUUACAACCAGUUAAAGUACAUUGAAACUGUCUUUCAUUUUUGACCAUUUUCUUCACUGGUAACAUGGAUUUAAUCAAUUUUAACUCAUACAUAAUAAUGUGUAUAAUUAUGCAUUUUCAUGACGUCUAAUUAAAGUACUUGAAGCAC